UAGAAUUCCAAUAACUGUUCAUGGGAUUACAAAUGUAAACUCCCUGGACGGGCCGAGGACCAGGAAGGGCUCUCUAAAGUUUCGAGUGAUCACCUGGUUUCUACUUCUUGGACACUACGCUUCUCUUUGCAGAUUCCACGACCUAUGGCUGCUAAGUUUCCCCUCCUUCUUCCCAGGAUGGCGGGUGAAUGCUGUCUUGGGGGCGGCGCUCAGCGGUGGGCGCUUCUGGCCCAUACGCUCCUGGAGGGCAGGCCUUGACCUCUCACCUCCGGGUCCGCUAUACUCACUGUCCCUGGCACCUAGCUGGGGCUCAGGCCUUUGCUGGAACAGUAUUUACUGUUCCUAUGGCUGGUAGUUCAGAGUUCGCAAAGGAUAUUAGUCUCCACUAGGUGUCAUGAUGAGUCAAGUAACAUUUGGAAAUCUUGCUUUUACUAUAUUCAUUUUCACGCAUGCAUUCUAUGUCUCACUGGGCACCUGUUGAGGGUCUGCUCGUGCCAAGCCAUGCUGGCCCUAGGGUCUCAUCUUGGCUGAGUUACCAGGUCUGGAGAGGAAGAAGCUGCAGUGGGUGUGGAGACAGACAGGCCACGAAGGCACAGGACAGAGGGACAGGUUACGCCAGAGGACACAGCCAUGGCUCCUCGAGAGAGGCACCUUCUAAGUUUAGAUUCCUAGGUUUUCAGACCACCUCUAAGAAUACGAGUUUACCUCCCUGGGCCCUGGCCAUGUGGGAAUGCUGGGUUUGGAGCGGGCCUGAGUUGGUCUAUGCAGGGAGGAGCCUGGAGGCCAGUGCUGACCUAGACCACCAUCCUGGACAUGUGCUGAGACCAGCCAUCCAAUGUUGCCCUCUGCCGUGUG